UCCCUCUCAGGACGACACCUGGAGAGUUUCCAGGACUCUACCGGUCUCGGCUGCGGGAGGGAGGGUCUAGCAGAGGGCCACCCAUUCCAUUUCUAGCUCGGCCAGGGGCUAGUGAGUGGAAGGCCAUCUGCUACGAGU